rnacentral:rRNA from 1 species
UAGGGAAUUUUCGUCAAUGGGCGCAAGCCUGAACGAGCAAUGCCGCGUGAACGAGGAAGGUCUUCGGAUCGUAAAGUUCUGUUGAAGGGGAAAAAGAGCGGAGAGAGGAAAUGGUCUCCGAUUGAUAUUACCCUUCGAGGAAGUCACGGCUAACUACGUGCCAGCAGCCGUGGUAAUAGAGCUCU